UUGAAUGAUGUAUCAGAUGAAGUUUCAAAUUGCAAGCACUUGGUUCUUCAAUAAGUUGGCAUUGACCAAGUCCUUUAGCAUAAGAAUGUUGCCUAAGUUCUAAGUCCAAUUGUCCAAGAUCAAGCCAACAGUCCAUACAAUUGUUUUAGGGUUUUUGUUGUUAUUAUGUAUAUUAAUGGUCAAAGACCACACAAACAAG
rnacentral:lncRNA from 1 species